AUUGAACGCUGGCGGCAUGCUUUACACAUGCCAGUCGAACGGCAGCGCGGGCUUCGGCCUGGCGGCGCGUGGCGAACGGGCGAGUAAUGCAUCGGAACGUGCCCAGUCGUGGGGGAUAGCCCGGCGAAAGCCGGAUUAAUACCGCAUACGACCUGAGGGUGAAAGCGGGGGACCGAAAGGCCUCGCGCUAUUGGAGGGGCCGAUGUCGGAUUAGCUAGUUGGUGGGGUAAAGGCUUACCAAGGCGACGAUCCGUAGCUGGUCUGAGAGGCCGACCAGCCACACUGGGACUGAGACACGGCCCAGACUCCUACGGGAGGCAGCAGUGGGGAAUUUUGGACAAUGGGGGCAACCCUGAUCCAGCCAUGCCGCGUGCGGGAAGAAGGCCUUCGGGUUGUAAACCGCUUUUGUUCGGGAAGAAAUCCUCUGGGCUAAUACCCCGGGGGGAUGACGGUACCGGAAGAAUAAGCACCGGCUAACUACGUG
rnacentral:rRNA from 1 species